GUGUCAGCAGCCGCGGUAAGACGAACCGUGCGAACGUUGUUCGGAAUCACUGGGCUUAAAGGGCGCGUAGGCGGGCCUCCAAGUCCGGGGUGAAAUCUUUCGGCUUAACCGGAAAAGUGCCUUGGAUACUGGGGGCCUUGAGGGAGGCAGGGGCGGAUGGAACUUCCGGUGGAGCGGUGAAAUGCGUUGAUAUCGGAAGGAACGCCGGUGGCGAAAGCGAUCCGCUGGACCUCUUCUGACGCUGAGGCGCGAAAGCCAGGGGAGCAAACGGGAUUAGAAACCCCCGUAGUCC
rnacentral:rRNA from 1 species